GACGAACGCUGGCGGCGUGCCUAAUACAUGCAAGUAGAACGCUGAAGGAGGAGCUUGCUUCUCUGGAUGAGUUGCGAACGGGUGAGUAACGCGUAGGUAACCUGCCUGGUAGCGGGGGAUAACUAUUGGAAACGAUAGCUAAUACCGCAUAACAGUAGAUAUCGCAUGAUAUCUACUUGAAAGGUGCAAUUGCAUCACUACCAGAUGGACCUGCGUUGUAUUAGCUAGUUGGUGAGGUAACGGCUCACCAAGGCGACGAUACAUAGCCGACCUGAGAGGGUGAUCGGCCACACUGGGACUGAGACACGGCCCAGACUCCUACGGGAGGCAGCAGGAGGGAAUCUUCGGCAAUGGACGGAAGUCUGACCGAGCAACGCCGCGUGAGUGAAGAAGGUUUUCGGAUCGUAAAGCUCUGUUGUAAGAGAAGAACGAGUGUGAGAGUGGAAAGUUCACACUGUGACGGUAUCUGACCAGAAAGGGACGGCUAACUACGUG
rnacentral:rRNA from 1 species